rnacentral:tRNA from 1 species
CAAAAUGUAGCUUAACAAAAGCCUUUCGCUUACACCGAAAACAUGUCUGUUAAAUCCGGACCACUUUGA